GGCCGCAGUAUUUUAACUGUGCAAAGGUAGCAUAAUCAUUAGUCUUUUAAUUGAAGGCUGGAAUGAAUGGUUGGACGAGGUAUAAACUGUUUCAUUUAAAAUUUUUGUAGAAUUUUAUUUUUUAGUCAAAAAGCUAAAAUAAAUUUAAAAGACGAGAAGACCCUAUAAAUCUUUAUAAUUAUUUAUGUAUUUAUUUUAUUGAUUAUUUUUAUUAUUAUAAAAUUAAUUAUUUUGUUGGGGUGAUAUUAAAAUUUAUUAAACUUUUAAUUUUAAAAAUCAUUAAUUUAUGAUUUAUUGAUCCUUUAAUAAAGAUUAAAAGAUUAAGUUACUUUAGGGAUAACAG
rnacentral:rRNA from 1 species